GAUGAAGAACGCAGCGAAAUGCGAUACGUAAUGUGAAUUGCAGAAUUCAGUGAAUCAUCGAAUCUUUGAACGCAUAUUGCGCUCUCUGGUAUUCCGGAGAGCACGCUUGUUUGAGUAUCAGUAAACACCUCAACUUCCAUAUCUUUUUUGAAAUGGGAGUUGGACUUGAGUGAUCCCAACGCUUUUCCUCACCGAAAAGUGGCGGGUUACUUGAAAUGCAGGUGCAGCUGGACUUUUCUCUGAGCUAUAAGCAUAUCUAUUUAGUCUGCCUAAAAAACAGAUUAUUACCUUUGCUGCAGCUAACAUAAAGGAGAUUAGUUCUUGUGCUGACUGAUGCAGGAUUCACAAAGACAGGCUUCGGCCGACUUUGUAAACUCGAUCUCAAAUCAAGUAAGACUACCCGCUGAACUUAAGCAUAUCAAUAAGCGGAGGA
rnacentral:misc_RNA from 1 species